ensembl:processed_transcript
GAUGAUUCACAGUCUGUCAGCAUGCAUUGAUUUUAAUCAUUGCUAUAUGUUUUAGGACUUCCAUAUGUGUCCCGCGGACCUGCCUGUCCCUCUAACUGUGCUGUUUACGCUCCAGGAAUAAGACAGCUUCAGAUCCGAGUGCUCUGCCUCAUCUCAACUGCUCCCACAUUACUGUACAAGUAACUUUUAAAGGAUUUCCUUGAGCCAUCAGAUGCAGGUGCUCUCCCAAGAUCAAAAGAGACCCGAAGCCUGUCGUGAAGAUACAGCGACUCAAAGAGGAAACAGCAUCACUAAAGAGUGAAAACAGGAGAGGAACAAAAACAAAGGUCUGACUGUAAACCCCUGAAAACUU